UGAGUGCGAGCGGCUACGGCCGCGAAGUGGGUGAUGUCAAGCUUCCAAGAAAAGCCCUAUACCCGUUAAGGCAUGAUGGCCUGUACCCGAAACCGACACAGGUGGGGUGGUAGAGAAUACCGAGGGGCGCGAGGUAACUCUCUCUAAGGAACUCGGCAAAAUGGCCCCGUAACUUCGGGAGAAGGGGUGCCACCGCAAGGUGGUCGCAGUGAAGAGGCCCAGGCGACUGUUUACCAAAAACACAGGUCUCCGCUAAGUCGCAAGACGAUGUAUGGGGGCUGACGCCUGCCCAGUGCCGGAAGGUUAAGGAAGCUGGUCAGCGCAAGCGAAGCUGGCGACUGAAGCCCCGGUGAACGGCGGCCGUAACUAUAACGGUCCUAAGGUAGCGAAAUUCCUUGUCGGGUAAGUUCCGACCCGCACGAAAGGCGUAACGAUCUGGGCGCUGUCUCGGAGAGAGGCUCGGCGAAAUAGAAUUGUCUGUGAAGAUGCGGACUACGUGCACCCGGACAGAAAGACCCUAUGAAGCUUUACUGUAGCUUGGUAUUGUGCCCGGGCUCUGAAUGCGCAGGAUAGGUGGGAGGCUUUGAUCCAUGGCUUGCGGGUCAUGGUGAGCCAACGGUGAGAUACCACUCUUUCAGAGCUAGGGUUCUAACGGUCACCCGUCAUCCGGGGACCGGACAGUAUCAGGUGGGCAGUUUGACUGGGGCGGUCGCCUCCUAAAAGGUAACGGAGGCGCGCAAAGGUUUGCUCAGGCUGGUUGGAAAUCAGCCGACGAGUGCAAAAGCAGAAGCAAGCUUGACUGUGAGACCUACAAGUCGAACAGGGACGAAAGUCGGCUUUAGUGAUCCGACGGUUCUGAGUGGAAGGGCCGUCGCUCAACGGAUAAAAGUUACUCUAGGGAUAACAGGCUGAUCUCCCCCAAGAGUUCACAUCGACGGGGAGGUUUGGCACCUCGAUGUCGGCUCAUCGCAACCUGGGGCUGAAGUCGGUCCCAAGGGUUGGGCUGUUCGCCCAUUAAAGCGGUACGCGAGCUGGUUCAGAACGUCGUGAGACAGUUCGGUCCAUAUCCGGUGCACGCGCAGGAACAUUGAGAGGAUUUCUCCCUAGUACGAGAGGACCGGGAGGAACGCACCUCUGGUGUGCCAGUUAUCGUGCCAACGGUAAACGCUGGGUAGCCAUGUGCGGAGUGGAUAACCGCUGAAAGCAUCUAAGUGGGAAGCCCACCUCAAGAUGAGUGUUCCCAUGGCAUAAGCCAGUAAGGUCACGGGAAGAACACCCGUUGAUAGGCUCUACGUGGAAGCCGGGUAACCGGUGAAGCGGAGGAGUACUAAUAGACCGAGGGCUUGACC
rnacentral:rRNA from 1 species